rnacentral:rRNA from 1 species
GGCGAACGGGUGAGUAACACGUGAGUAAUCUGCCCUUCACUUUGGGAUAAGCUUCGGAAACGGGGUCUAAUACCGAAUACGACCACUCCUCGCAUGAGGUGGUGGUGGAAACUUUUUUGGGUGGGGGAUGUGCUCGCGGCCUAUCAGCUUGUUGGUGGGGUAAUGGCCUACCAAGGCUUCGACGGGUAGCCGGCCUGAGAGGGUGACCGGCCACACUGGGACUGAGACACGGCCCAGACUCCUACGGGAGGCAGCAGUGGGGAAUGUUGGACAAUGGGCGGAAGCCUGAUCCAGCAACGCCGCGUGAGGGAUGACGGCCUUCGGGUUGUAAACCUCUUUCAUCACCGACGAAGGCGCGAUCUUUUGGUCGUGUUGACGGUAGGUGGAGAAGGAGCACCGGCCAACUACGUGCCAGCAGCCGCGGUAAUACGUAGGGUGCGAGCGUUGUCCGGAAUUAUUGGGCGUAAAGGGCUCGUAGGUGGUUUGUCGCGUCGGGAGUGAAAACCAUGAGCUUAACUCAUGGCUUGCUUUCGAUACGGGCAGACUGGAGGUAUGCAGGGGAGAACGGAAUUCCUGGUGUAGCGGUGAAAUGCGCAGAUAUCAGGAGGAACACCGGUGGCGAAGGCGGUU